AUGUCCUGCAUGUUUCCUUUUAACUGCUCCUUAUUCUGGGUUUAUUGUACUUUGUAUUUACAGAUGCAGAUCUUCGUGAAGACCCUCACCGGCAAGACCAUCACCCUCGAGGUCGAGUCGUCUGACACGAUCGAUAAUGUCAAGGCCAAGAUCCAGGACAAGGAGGGAAUCCCUCCGGACCAGCAGCGCCUCAUCUUUGCCGGCAAGCAGCUGGAGGAUGGCCGCACCCUGGCUGACUACAACAUUCAGAAGGAGUCCACCCUCCACCUGGUGCUCAGGCUUCGUGGAGGCAUGCAGAUUUUCGUCAAGACCCUCACCGGCAAGACCAUCACCUUGGAGGUGGAGUCCUCGGACACCAUCGACAACGUGAAGGCAAAGAUCCAGGACAAGGAGGGCAUCCCUCCGGACCAGCAGCGCCUCAUCUUCGCUGGCAAGCAGCUUGAGGAUGGCCGCACCCUGGCUGACUACAACAUCCAGAAGGAGUCCACCCUCCACCUGGUGCUCAGGCUUCGUGGAGGCAUGCAGAUUUUUGUCAAGACGCUCACCGGCAAGACCAUCACCCUGGAGGUGGAGUCCUCGGACACCAUCGACAAUGUGAAGGCCAAGAUCCAGGAUAAGGAGGGCAUUCCCCCGGACCAGCAGCGUCUCAUCUUCGCUGGCAAGCAGCUGGAGGAUGGCCGCACCCUGGCAGACUACAACAUCCAGAAGGAGUCUACCCUUCACCUGGUGCUCCGCCUGCGUGGUGGCCAGUAA
rnacentral:rRNA from 1 species